CGUGAGGAACCUACCCCGGACUCAGGGAUAACGGCUGGAAACGGCUGCUAAUACCUGAUGCCGUCGGAGCAUCACAUGGUGCACUGACGAAAGAAUCUCGGUUCGGGAGGGUCUCGCGGCCUAUCAGCUAGUUGGUGGGGUAAUGGCCUACCAAGGCAUCGACGGGUAGCUGGUCUGAGAGGAUGAUCAGCCACACUGGGACUGAGACACGGCCCAG
rnacentral:rRNA from 1 species